rnacentral:misc_RNA from 1 species
GAUGAAGAACGCAGCGAAAUGCGAUAAGUAAUGUGAAUUGCAGAAUUCCGUGAAUCAUCGAAUCUUUGAACGCACAUUGCGCCCUUUGGUAUUCCGAAGGGCAUGCCUGUUCGAGCGUCAUUAUCACCCCUCAAGCCCCCCGGCUUGGUGUUGGACGGUUUGGCGGAGGCCCUCCGGGGCCCUUGCCCCUCCCAAAGACAAUGACGGCUGCCUCGUUGGACCCCCGGUACACUGAGUUCUUUACGGGACACGUACUGGAGUAAGGGUGCACGGGGCACGGUCUGCCUCCCCUCAGGGAGAAUCUUUUUUUACAAGGUUGACCUCGGAUCAGGUAGGGAUACCCGCUGAACUUAAGCAUAUCAAUAACGGAGGA